rnacentral:lncRNA from 1 species
GAAGGCGCUCCGGGGCGAAGCAGACUAUUGGGGAGAGUCUUAUUACAGUGACCUCAUCGACUUGCAUCUGGGUGGCAUGGGCAAGAAGGACGACCCCAAGCUGAUGCAGGAGUGGUUCAAGCUAGUGCAGGAGAAGAACGCCAUGGUGCGCUACGAGUCGGAGCUGAUGAUCUUUGCCCGGGAGCUGGAGCUGGAAGACCGGCAGAGUCGACUGCAGCAGGAGCUCCGGGAACGCAUGGCAGUGGAAGAUCACCUUAAGACUGAGGAGGAGCUGUCAGAAGAGAAGCAGAUUCUCAAUGAGAUGCUGGAGGUGGUGGAGCAGAGAGACUCACUGGUGGCGCUGCUGGAGGAGCAGCGGCUCCGGGAGAGAGAGGAGGACAAGGACCUGGAGGCUGCCAUGCUGUCCAAGGGCUUCAGCCUUAACUGGUCCUGAGCUCCCACCCAACGCUCCAUUUUCUGUUGGCAUCCGCCUGGCCAGGCAGUGGCAUCCAAACCACCCGGAGCCGCGAUCUGAGGAGGCCUGGCACCUCCUUGGAGUUUACGCUCAGAUGCCCGUGUGCUGCUUGGAAAGUGGUCGAGUCCCGCGUGCAGUGGGGAGCCCCAGGUGACAGUGGUUAUCUGAGACGGCUCCACCUCCUGGGAGGAGGCCCACCUGGACCUCCCACUCAGAGGAGCAGCACGGCGUGUAUGGCAUGACGCAGGGGACCACCCCGCGCGCUCCCUGAGGAUGUGCUGGCUGUGCCCCUUUUUUCCACUGGCACAUUUGGUAAGAGAGGGAAGCUGCUCCCCGUCAGAACCACAGUGCGCCGUGCGAGGGGCACUGUCUUCUUCAUGCUCCCUGGAGCACCACC